rnacentral:rRNA from 1 species
UACGGGGGGAGCAAGCGUUGUUCGGAUUUACUGGGCGUAAAGGGCGCGUAGGCGGUCAGCACAAGUCAGUUGUGAAAUCUCCGGGCUUAACUCGGAAAGGUCAACUGAUACUGUGCGACUAGAGUGCGGAAGGGGCAACUGGAAUUCUCGGUGUAGCGGUGAAAUGCGUAGAUAUCGGGAGGAACACCUGCGGCGAAGGCGGGUUGCUGGGCCGACACUGACGCUGAUGCGCGAAAGCCAGGGGAGCGAACGGG